UACGUAGGUGGCGAGCGCUGUCCGGAUUUACUGGGCGUAAAGCGCACGUAGGCGGAUCGUUAAGUCGGGGGUAAAAUCCUGGAGCUCAACUCCAGAACUGCCUUCGAUACUGGCGAUCUUGAGUCCGGAAGAGGUGAGUGGAACUCCUAGUGUAGAGGUGGAAUUCGUAGAUAUUAGGAAGAACACCAGUGGCGAAGGCGGCUCACUGGUCCGGUACUGACGCUGAGGUGCGAAAGCGUGGGGAGCAAACAGG
rnacentral:rRNA from 1 species